AGUUUGAUUCUGGCUCAGGUGAACACUGGCGGAUGCUUUACACAUGCAAGUCGAACGGCGCUGCGGACUUCGGUCUGGUGGCGAGUGGCGAACAGGUGAGUAAUGUAUCGGAACGUGCUAGUAGCGGGGGAUAACUACGCGAAAGCGUAGCUAAUACAUACGCCCUUCAGAGAAAGCAGGGGACCUUCGGGCCUCGUACUAUUAGAGCGGCCGAUAUCGGAUUAGCUAAGUUGGUGGGGUAACGGCUCGCAAGGCGACGAUCCGUAGCUGUUGAGAGGACGACCAGCCACGCAGGACUGAGACUAGCCCGAACUCUACGGAGGCAGCAGUGGGAAUUUUGGACAAUGGAAGCCCUGAUCCAGCCAUCCCGCGUGUGCGAUAAAGGCCUUCGAGUUUGUAAAGCACUUUGGCAGGAAAGGAAACGGCACGGGAUAAUACCCCGUGCAACUGACGUGCAGAAUGACGCACCGGUAACUACGUGCCAGCAGCCGCGGUAAUACGUAGGAAUUGCAAGCGUUAAUCGGAAUUACUGGGCGUAAAGCGUGCGCAGGCGGUUCGGAAAGAAAAGAUGUGAAAUCCCAAGCUUACGCUUUUGAACUUCAUUUUUAGCACUACCGAGCUGAAGUGUGUCAAGGGGUGGAAUUCCCGCGUGUAGCAGUGAAAUGCGUAGAUAUGCGGAGGAACACCGAUGGCGAAGGUAUCCUGGGAUAACACUGACGCUCAUGCACGAAAGCGUGGGGAGCAAACAGGAUUAGAUACCCUGGUAGUCCACGCCCUAAACGAUGUCAACUAGCUGUUGGGGCCUUCCGGGCCUUGGUAGCGCAGCUAACGCGUGAAGUUGACCGCCUGGGAAAUACGGUCGCAAGAUUAAAACUCAAAGGAAUUGACGGGGACACACAAGCGGUGGAUGAUGUGGACAAAUUGGUACGCUGCGAAAAACCUUACCUACCCUUGACAUGUCUGGAAUCCCGAAGAGAUUUGGGAGUGCUCGCAAGAACCGGAACACAGGUGCUGCAUGGCUGUCGUCAGCUCGUGUCGUGAGAUGUUGGGUUAAGUCCCGCAACGAGCGCAACCCUUGUCAUUGGUUGCUACGAAAGGGCACUCUAAUGAGACUGCCGGUGACAAACCGGAGGAAGGUGAGGAUGACGUCAAGUCCUCAUGGCCCUUAUGGGCAGGGCUUCACACGUCAUACAAUGGUCAGGACAGAGGGUCGCCAACCCGAGGAGGCCAGUCCCGAAACCCGAUCGUAGUCCGGAUCGCAGUCUGCGCUCGACUGCGUGAAGUCGGAAUCGCUGGUAAUCGCGGAUCAGCAUGUCGCGGUGAAUACGUUCCCGGGUCUUGUACACCGCCCGUCACACCAUGAAGUGCUGGGUUUUACCAGAAGUAGUUAGCCUAACCGUAGGCAAUUUACCACGGUAGGAUUCAUGACUGGGGUGGAAGUCAUAACAACAAAGGUAGCUCUGUUACUACCUGAUGUAGAACAUCCAUGGCGCUU
rnacentral:rRNA from 1 species